GACGGUUUUGCCUCCAUAGGGCAUUUGGGAGGGGCGCGUGAGGGAAGUAGACGUUGGAGCGGCUCCGGCGGCCGACUCUUGAGUAGUGGGCCUUGACAGGAAGGCGGGAGAGGCGCGUGUGUGAGGCGUGGGUAUUUUGUUACCUCUGUGUGGUUCUUAAAGGAGCCAACGAACGGACUGCGCGGCAAAAGCCGUACUGUGAUAGGUUUCUUUUAGAAGAGAGGAUAAGGCGAUCUAGUGUGUCGAGGGUGAUAUUUACAGCAGGUGUGUUUUGCUAUGUGUGUCGACAAUUAUCAAGACAAAGAACGAAAAGUACUCUGAAAGCAUCAAUUAAGAUGUCUAAAAAACAUACUUUGGCAUGCCUGUCAGUAAUCAAGACAAGCCCUGGGCACUUCAUUUCACAUUCGAACACUGCAAGAAAACUCUUGAAGAGUGGUACAGGGGAGAAAAGAGCCCUGAAGCUUGCUAUCCCAAGAAUUUGUUGGAUGGAAGUGUGCAAGUCACAGAUCAGAGAAAGCAUAUAAUUUAAUAAUGGAUCACACAAGGAUCAUGUAUAAAACAAAACUACUCUUGACAAAUAGCACUGGUGAUUGAACAGAAUGGCCACUUCCUCAAAGUCAUUACUGAAGUGUCUCAAAGAUGGGUAGUGGAAGAUAAGAUUGGCAGCUGCUCUGCUAUGAUUGGUUAUUAAGUUUUUAUGCAAAUUUGAAUAAAGGGAGCAAUUAAGAAAGUUGUGUGUUCUUUCCUGCAAAGGAUAUGGAGUUAUUGUAGGUGAUGUGCCAUUGAAUCUUCCUCAUCAAAGAAUUGAAAGUAAGAUCCUGAAUCUCACUGUAAAGAUUCAUUUGUGUGCUGGUUGUAAAACAAUAAGGCAUUUAAUCACAGAAAACAGUCUCCCUAGUAUGUCUGAGUUACAGGAUAUUUUUAAUAAAGCCUACAUCCUUUUUCAAGUCU